rnacentral:rRNA from 1 species
AUGCGAGGAGUAGUCUUUGAGGCGCGUCCUGUGCGCCUCCUCCAGAGCGAUCUUGGCCUGGAUGUAGGACGCGCCGACCGCGACGACCUCGCGUCGUUCCUGGCCGCCCAGGGUGCGCAGCGCCCGGUCGUCAACGAGCCCGUCGUGGAGCAGCCGGUGGAGCGAGGGGAAGACGUGGUCGUACCCGUGCUCGUAGUAAAAGACCAUGUCCGUCACGUAGUUGGAGAAGAGGGUACGCACGUCGGCGGCGCCAAUGAGCAGGUUCGCGAUGCCGCACCCGAACAGGGCGUCGUUGGUUGUCAUGGCCUCGGGCCAGUCAGCGGCGCCCAGUGCGGCAAGCACCUCCGGCGACGCUUGGUUCAGCCCCUUGCCCUUAGGGGGAAGCACGUUGCCCAUUGCAUGCUGCGUACUUUUCCACAGCGCGAGCUCUGGGGACAGCCGCAGCUGCACCACCCUGGGCCUGGGCCGCGCCGCUUUUGGCGCCUCCUUGCCGAUGCUUGCAAACAGCUCCGCCACCAUGUCUUCCGCCUGGCGAGAAAGCCUUCGAAAAUCUGCUACGGCUCCCUUGCCGAUCAAGGCCCUCGCCUCCGAGUAGCCGGUCUGCAGUGGGAAGCCUCCCACGGGAUCCUCGCCCCAGAAAUACGGAGACAUUCUAGGAGCAGGUGGCACACCGCCGCCGGGGAGAUGGCCCUUCACCUUAAUGUUGAGGCCAUGGAGAGAGCAGCCACCCCAUGUCGAAUCCUCGGCGUCCUGCGGGCGAGGAUCGGACAUUGA